ensembl:lncRNA
CACAUAUUUACUCAACAACAUGCCAAGACCCUUUUUCGGGUCUUGUUCUUGUUCAUGUCAUAAACAAAUAAUCAGAAUUCUCUGGCACAUACGCAGAACAGAGACAGAGGUUGUUCUUAUAAUCCCUCAGGGUCCGGUUAAGAGCUGACUCUCAUUCUGACGGCACCUAUUCACUGCAGAGGAUCCACUGGUGAGAAAGUGAUGUAAUAUCAAAUUUCUCCAAAUCUUUUCUGAUGAAGAAACAAACUCAUCUACAUCUUGAAUGACCUGAGGAAAACAAACACGCAGGAUAAUAAACGAGAGAGGAGUUCUGUGUUUAAGUUGGACGGGAUGUCUAGCACAAACGGUGGGAAAGGAUGCUGGCUGCAGGUUUGUACUCGGAGGGAAGCUGAGCUGAGCAGGAGGAAAAACAGGACGGAAUAGAAAAAAAUAAGGAGGUGAAACAACUUAAUGUGAUUGUAAUCAAAGCAUCACUUUGUUUAGCAGCUUGGCAUUCUGUCGCUGAUGUGGCACCGCUUCGAAAAGCAUCAUUAAAGCCAUUAACUUUCAUAAUUUCCCCAAUUUUCUUUAUUUCAAAUAUAAACAGUCUCCAGUCAGCCAAGCGCUCUGAGACCUCCCGUUUCACAGGGAGCUAUCAGAUGAAUGCUGGGAUAUCUUAGGGGCUUUCUGGCUGAUCGGAACAUAUUCUAAAUGAUCCUGAAAAAGUCCUAAUGGCAAACACAGGUGGGAAAAGUAUUACAAGCCCAUCAGAGCUGCUACCAUUCUCACAAAGACAGCUAAUGCUAAGAAAAAACAUUCAAGGCAAUUAUGAUGAAGUGGGAGAGGAGUGUGUACUUUCUUUGUGAAAGCAAGUAGUUGAAUUGUACUGUUACAACUCCUAGAACGGUUAAUUAGACGGUAAGUGAACUAUGAAAGCAAAGCAGGCUAUUGCUCUAAUUCCAAAAUUGUUCUGCUAAUGAGCCUCGCAAAAACAACCAUCAGACUAUUUUUCAAUUACGUGAACCUGGUUGAGCUGUAGUUAAAAUCUGAACAAUGUCAUUUGUAUAGCGUGAUAUUUAUUUAUUAGACCAGGAAAGCUCCCCCAAGCAUUUCCUUUUUCAAAAAAAAAAACAAAAAAAAAAACACAAAAACAAAAGGUAUUGCAAGAUUACAUUGAUAAACACCUAGAAUUUAGCAUGUUUAACAGUUUAUAAUUAGCAGUACCACACAUAUAGUUAGAUAAAUCAGAAAUACUGUCAAAAUGUACAAGUAUUUCAGAUAUUUACUUUGAAAAUUUUUCACUGUCAAAAAAAAAAUAAAAAAAAUAAAUAAUAAUAUAUAUAUAUAUUUUUUUUUCAAUUACUUACAUUAUUUCCAAUGAGUAAAACACAC